CCGAGUGAAGGAAGAGGUCAGAAAACUUAAAGAAGGGCAGAUUCCUGUAACAUGUCGAAUUGAAGAAAUGGAAAACGAGCGUCACAAUUUGGAGGCUCGAAUCAAAGAAAAGGCAACAGAUAUUAAGGAGGCAUCUCAAAAAUGCAAACAGAAGCAAGAUGUUAUAGAAAGGAAAGAUAAACAUGGUCUCUGUUACCCAGGUUGGAGUACAGUGGUGUGAUCU
rnacentral:lncRNA from 10 species